UACGUAGGGUGCAAGCGUUGUCCGGAAUCAUUGGGCGUAGAGCGCGCGUAGGUGGCUUCGUAAGUCCGUUGUGAAAGUCAAAGGCUCAACCUUUGAAUGCCGAUGGAUACUGCGAAGCUAGAGUACGGAAGAGGCGAGUGGAAUUCCUGGUGUAGCGGUGGAAUGCGCAGAUAUCAGGAGGAACACCGGUGGCGAAGGCGGGUCUCUGGGCCGUUACUGACGCUGAGGAGCGAAAGCGUGGGGAGCGAACAGG
rnacentral:rRNA from 1 species